rnacentral:rRNA from 1 species
CAUGGCGACCAUAGCGCUUUGGACCCACCUGAUUCCAUGCCGAACUCAGUAGUGAAACGAAGCAGCGCCGAUGGUAGUGUGGGGUCUCCCCAUGUGAGAGUAGGACAUCGCCAGGC